GGUCGCGUGGCCCAAUGGCAAGGCGUUUGACUACGAUUCCUGUACAUCAAAAGAUUGUGGGUUCGAUCCCCACCGUGACCU
rnacentral:tRNA from 1 species